ensembl:lncRNA
UUCCUGGAGCAUUUGAGGAGUGAAGAAACAAGAAGUUUUGUACCAAAAAUAAACCGUUGGAUCCUGCUGUGGCUCUCCUCCAGUGUCUGCUGCUCUUCUGCGUUUCUUCUUGACUUCAUAGCUCGGAUCCACAUAGCCUUCCUGCCAUCAAACACUGCUGUUCCAGUAGAGCAUCUUUCAGUUCUCUGGUUCUUCCUGUUAAUCUUCAGGUUUUUAGUUUUGCUCUGUCUGGCCAUAUUGAUCACCAGCUCCAAGAACAUGGAAACCUGGACCACAAAUUUUGGUGGCUGCCAUAAUCUGGAUACUACCAUCUGUGUCAUGGAUUCCUUUCUGAACCUCACAGCAUGUUUGAUGUUUGUUGACAGAGGUCAUGUGAAGCUGAGUGUGCAAUGCUCCAGGAGCAGAAAGAUCACAGUGGCUUCAGCCUGCAAACAGGCUGAGUGGAGAGAUGUGCCCAUGCCCACAUGGACCUGCUGA